GACGAACCGUGCGAACGUUGUUCGGAAUCACUGGGCUUAAAGGGCGCGUAGGCGGGCGAUCAAGUCAGGGGUGAAAUCCUCCAGCUCAACUGGAGAACUGCCUCUGAUACUGGCCGCCUCGAGGAAGGUAGGGGCACGCGGAACUGAUGGUGGAGCGGUGAAAUGUGUUGAUAUCAUCAGGAACUCCGGUGGCGAAAGCGGCGUGCUGGACCUUUUCUGACGCUGAGGCGCGAAAGCUAGGGGAGCAAACGGGAUUAGAUACCCGGGUAGU
rnacentral:rRNA from 1 species